CACCGCGGUUAUACGAGAGGCCCAAGCUGAUAAGUGACGGCGUAAAGAGUGGUUAGGGAAAACCCCCAUACUAAAGCCGAACGCCCCCAGAGCCGUUAUACGCACCCGGAGGUGUGAAAAACCCCCACGAAAGUGGCUUUAACCCCCAGCCCCGACCCCACGACAGCUUUGACA
rnacentral:rRNA from 1 species